rnacentral:ribozyme from 13 species
UUUUUUUUUUUUUUUUUUUUUUUUUUUUUUUUUUUUUUUUUUUUACAAUGUACCACCAACGAAGGAGUGUCAGAGACG